CAGGGAGCAGCAUAAAUAAAAACACAUUAUUACAGACAGAAAACACUAUAUACUGUAGCAGGGAAAGGCACACGUACCGCUUGUGAAUGGCAAUUUGCUGGAGAAAAAGUAGCAGUGCAGUUGUAAAGAGACAAGAACACACUCCCAGAUCUGACCAUUAAAGAAAUAUAUAACUCCUGUAAUGAUAAAUGAUGUAAUAAGUUAUUCCACAACAGCACAGGAGGAUACACAACAGAAUUCAGCACUUCAAGAAAAACUUUUUUCAGACGUGCUCAUUUGGGGUUUACCAAUAAGUCAUCCAGCUGAGAUUCCUACAGGGAGAAAAGCGCACUAUCACUGUGGUCAGACAAAUGUAACAUAUGGACUACCUCGUGGUGACUGAGUUGAUCUGAAAGUCUGAAUACAUUUCACUGGUGUCUGGAGAAUGUAUCCUGUGUGUGUGUGUGUGUGCCUGUAUGCAGUGUUGCCAAAUGACCAAACGUGCAGGGUGUCAUUUGGACUCUGGAAACGUCUUUGCAGCAGAGAGUGAUGGCAGCUUAUCUAAAGCUUGGCAAUUGGCCACCCCAUGAGUCAGUGGAGAGAUACUUAUUGUGUUUUCAUUGUUCAAUAAGACUUUGCAUGAAUUUCUUCCACCUCUUAGCUUACUGAGCCAAAAGCUCCCUAAACGCCAAAGUCUGGAAAGAGUGGCUGGCUCGAGGUCACCCCUGAUGUUUCACUGGGUGCCUGGGGAAGACUGGAUUUAGAAAGCUACUGCAGUCACAGACCAUGGCAACCAACUGUGCUGAAUUACUUCAAUCUCCUUUAUAAGUUUGGCAACAGAUUAACAAUGUUGUAAACGCUGCUUGGGACAGGAUGUUGGGGAUAUCAACAAGUUCUUUCAGAUUCUCAUACACUGCUGUGGCUGAUACUCA